rnacentral:sRNA from 1 species
UUAUUCAUCCAUAGAGUAGAUAAAACAUGUGCAACAGCAGUCCAAGUUUCCCCACACUGCCUUGCCAACUUGCCUCAACCCUGACUGUGAAGCAAGUACAGGAAGAAAA